rnacentral:lncRNA from 1 species
CUCUAAGUAAUGAAGACCUCACCUAACAGUUAUUGGCCUCAUUCCUUAGUUAAGUCAGACCCACCGUAUAACCGCAGAAGCAAAGCCGUCAUUGGGUCCCUCACCUAACAGUUAUUGGGCCCAACCCCAUCUUUACCCCUACAACAUCUCAUGCCUAAUAGAGAGAUCCAGUCCCCGAUGCAACUUGCCCACUGUAUCCAGCCGAGACAAAUCAACGCCGGAAAGACCUUAGUAGCUCUACUACGGUGGAAGACCGCUAGACUUAAUAUUUUUGAGGAGAUUUAAUUUAGAUCUCUUUCAUUUAAUUAUCUACAUCUCAUGCAAAUAAUUAUCUACCCGCUAUGCAUAGACAUAAACAUAAACAAUAAGGCAUAAUCACAAAAUAACUGGCGAUGAUCAUGGAUCCAGGAUGGGGUCAUAGUACAAGCACAUGCACGUCAAUUGGUUAGAUCGUCUUCAACUCUUGACUCGAUCUUGAGCACUCUUGGUCCAAUUGCGAUCAACUCCUUGAUCCAUCUCUAAUCAACCCUUGAUCUCGAUCUGCGCAAAUCGUGCUUGUAGAGGCAUGCACCGAUCAACUAUUGACAUGCAAACACAUCACAGAUUACAUCCCAGAUAACUUUAAAAAUAAAUAAAAUUAAAUAAUACUUACAAUCCUUUUUCAUGAGACACGCAGGUCUCUAAUACGUCAAUAUAAGAUGCACGCAGGCAUCUGAAAAUCUGAUUUACAUGUCAUCACAUAACAACACAGAACAUCUCAGAUAUUGCAAAACAUUUCAGCACAAUUAAAGGGUCCAUCCAUGAUCAUCACCAAAUACAUCUCACGCAUUAAUUAUAAUUUACAGAUAUGAAUAUUUAACUGAUUAUGUCAUCUUAUGAGUUGUUGAUCAUGCAAGAUAUGAUUCUAAAUAUUUGUAAUCUCAUUAACAAAUCAAUAGAAUCAUUAAUCUAAUCACAUAGAAAAUCAGCAUGCAGAAAAAUCAGCAAGCUGAAAAUUCUGCAUGCAGAAAAAUUCAGCAAGCAUAAUCUUUAAAUUUUCAGAUCUAUUAUGCCUUAAUCAUUUAAUCC